rnacentral:rRNA from 1 species
CGUUAAUGGGCGUCGAGCGGCGGACGGGUGAGUAAUGCCUAGGAAAUUGCCUUGAUGUGGGGGAUAACCAUUGGAAACGAUGGCUAAUACCGCAUAAUGCCUACGGGCCAAAGAGGGGGAUCUUCGGACCUCUCGCGUCAAGAUAUGCCUAGGUGGGAUUAGCUAGUUGGUGAGGUAAUGGCUCACCAAGGCGACGAUCCCUAGCUGGUCUGAGAGGAUGAUCAGCCACACUGGAGCUGAGACACGGUCCAGACUCCUACGGGAGGCAGCAGUGGGGAAUAUUGCACAAUGGGCGAAAGCCUGAUGCAGCCAUGCCGCGUGUAUGAAGAAGGCCUUCGGGUUGUAAAGUACUUUCAGUUGUGAGGAAGGGUGUGUAGUUAAUAGCUGCGCAUCUUGACGUUAACAACAGAAGAAGCACCGGCUAACUCCGUGCCAGCAGCCGCGGUAAUACGGAGGGUGCGAGCGUUAAUCGGAAUUACUGGGCGUAAAGCGCAUGCAGGUGGUUUAUUAAGUCAGAUGUGAAAGCCCGGGGCUCAACCUCGGAACUGCAUUUGAAACUGGUGAACUAGAGUGCUGUAGAGGGGGGUAGAAUUUCAGGUGUAGCGGUGAAAUGCGUAGAGAUCUGAAGGAAUACCAGUGGCGAAGGCGGCCCCCUGGACAGACACUGACACUCAGAUGCGAAAGCGUGGGGAGCAAACAGGAUUAGAUACCCUGGUAGUCCACGCCGUAAACGAUGUCUACUUGGAGGUUGUGGCCUUGAGCCGUGGCUUUCGGAGCUAACGCGUUAAGUAGACCGCCUGGGGAGUACGGUCGCAAGAUUAAAACUCAAAUGAAUUGACGGGGGCCCGCACAAGCGGUGGAGCAUGUGGUUUAAUUCGAUGCAACGCGAAGAACCUUACCUACUCUUGACAUCCAGAGAAGCCAGUGGAGACACAGGUGUGCCUUCGGGAACUCUGAGACAGGUGCUGCAUGGCUGUCGUCAGCUCGUGUUGUGAAAUGUUGGGUUAAGUCCCGCAACGAGCGCAACCCUUAUCCUUGUUUGCCAGCGAGUAAUGUCGGGAACUCCAGGGAGACUGCCGGUGAUAAACCGGAGGAAGGUGGGGACGACGUCAAGUCAUCAUGGCCCUUACGAGUAGGGCUACACACGUGCUACAAUGGCGCAUACAGAGGGCAGCAAGCUAGCGAUAGUGAGCGAAUCCCAAAAAGUGCGUCGUAGUCCGGAUUGGAGUCUGCAACUCGACUCCAUGAAGUCGGAAUCGCUAGUAAUCGUGAAUCAGAAUGUCACGGUGAAUACGUUCCCGGGCCU